rnacentral:rRNA from 1 species
GAGUUUGAUCCUGGCUCAGGAUGAACGCUAGCUACAGGCUUAACACAUGCAAGUCGAGGGGCAUCAGGGAUUAGCAAUAAUCUGCUGGCGACCGGCGCACGGGUGAGUAACACGUAUCCAACCUUCCUUUAACUCGGGGAUAGCCUUUCGAAAGAAAGAUUAAUACCCGAUAAUAUAAGCUAACCUCCUGGUUUACUUAUUAAAGAAUUUCGGUUAUCGAUGGGGAUGCGUUCCAUUAGGCAGUUGGCGGGGUAACGGCCCACCAAACCUUCGAUGGAUAGGGGUUCUGAGAGGAAGGUCCCCCACACUGGAACUGAGACACGGUCCAGACUCCUACGGGAGGCAGCAGUGAGGAAUAUUGGUCAAUGGACGCAAGUCUGAACCAGCCAAGUAGCGUGAAGGAUGACUGCCCUAUGGGUUGUAAACUUCUUUUAUAUGGGAAUAAAACGCUCCACGUGUGGAGCUUUGUAUGUACCAUUAUGAAUAAGCAUCGGCUAACUCCGUGCCAGCAGCCGCGGUAAUACGGAGGAUGCGAGCGUUAUCCGGAUUUAUUGGGUUUAAAGGGAGCGUAGGUGGAUUGAUAAGUCAGCCUGUGAAAGUUUGCGGCUCAACCGUAAAAUUGCAGUUGAUACUGUCAGUCUUGAGUACA